rnacentral:rRNA from 1 species
GAUGAACGCUAGCGGCAGGCUUAAUACAUGCAAGUCGAGGGGUAGCAAGAUUGUAGCAAUACAAUUGUUGACGACCGGCAAACGGGUGCGGAACACGUACACAACCUUCCUACAAGUGGGGAAUAGCCCAGAGAAAUUUGGAUUAAUACCCCGUAACAUAGCGAUGUGGCAUCACAUUGCUAUUAUAGCUUCGGCGCUUGUUGAUGGGUGUGCGGCUGAUUAGAUAGUUGGCGGGGUAACGGCCCACCAAGUCUACGAUCAGUAGCUGAUGUGAGAGCAUGAUCAGCCACACGGGCACUGGGACACGGGCCCGACUCCUACGGGAGGAAGCAGUAAGGAAUAUUGGACAAUGGACGCAAGUCUGAUCCAGCCAUGCCGCGUGAAGGAUUAAGGUCCUCUGGAUUGUAAACUUCUUUUAUAAGGGACGAAAAAAGGUCUUUCUAGAUCGUCUGACGGUACCUUAUGAAUAAGCACCGGCUAACUCCGUGCCAGCCGCCGCGGUAACAC